AACGAACGCUGGCGGCAGGCCUAACACAUGCAAGUCGAACGAAGUCUUCGGACUUAGUGGCGGACGGGUGAGUAACGCGUGGGAACGUGCCCUUUGCUUCGGAAUAGCCCCGGGAAACUGGGAUAAUACCGGAUAAGCCCUACGGGGGAAAGAUUUAUCGCCAUUGGAUGGGCCCGCGUAGGAUUAGCUAGUUGGUGAGGUAAUGGCUCACCAAGGCAACGAUCCUUAGCUGGUUUGAGAGAAUGACCAGCCACACUGGGACUGAGACACGGCCCAGACUCCUACGGGAGGCAGCAGUGGGGAAUAUUGGACAAUGGGCGCAAGCCUGAUCCAGCCAUGCCGCGUGAGUGACGAAGGCCUUAGGGUUGUAAAGCUCUUUUGGCGGGGACGAUAAUGACGGUACCCGCAGAAUAAAGCCCGGCUAACUUCGUGCCAGCAGCCGCGGUAAGGCUACGUAGA
rnacentral:rRNA from 1 species